UUUUGCUCCUUAAGGUCUGCGAUGCUUCAAGAAGCAGCAGCCAUCUUGCCAGCCUGGGGAGGAAGCCGGAAGAGAGGAAGAGGAUGGGGGGCCGGGGUGUGACAUUACAGAGCCACCAUACUAAGCCCUUGCAGGGGCGGAAAAUUUUCCCUUCCUCCCUUCCAGAUUCUGUGAGUGCUUGUCAGUGAUAGGACCUACCAGAAGCUGACGAGGAGGUCUGGGAAGUGUAGUUUUUCGGCUGCCAAGCACUGUACAUAGAAGGGAAAAUAGCAAGAUAUUGCCGUGGAAACGUCAAUUCCCCAGGCCAAGAAGACCCCCCGUUUCCCAGAAGCUACUUCUACAAACUCUAGAAUAUAGAUGAGCCUGGCCCAAUCACACGCUACGUCCGGACCCAGCGGAUUUGCAGCACACCUGCAUUGGAGCAGUCUCCUCCGUCUUGGCCAUGGUCUCCGUUCCCACCAUCCACUAAGGAGCAUCUGAUUAAGUGGCAUUGCUGUAUCCACAUGCGAUUUACAAAAAUAAUAUUUUAUCCUCACCAUCAGUACUGUUUGUGGCUGCGCAAUGGAUAGGAAUAAUUUCAGAAGGUUCCAGCUGGCCUUCCUCAAAAGGCACCGAUCCUCCAAUCAAAUGUCAAUGACCAAGUCUGGACCAAUGACGUUCUCUGUCAUGGGAAUUUGGAAUCAGAAAACUGAGAGUCUGAGUCAGGUGUACCCACAGGAUGAUGGGCACUUGACCUCAAAGGUCAUAGACAACUGGCCCUGACAUUGAUACCCAAGCAAACCUGGACCCCCACGAGGCUGUGAGAUCUGUAAGAUCAUCUGUUGUAAUUCUGUAGGAACACUCCUCUUAACUUCAGUUAGUUCAACAGGAUUUCUUUGCUUUGCAACCAGAGCUUUAAUUAAUAUAACCUUCCAGUUGCACAGCUCUAGCCUUCUGGUGCAAGUUUUCCUUCUUGACUCGGCAAAUGCCUGCUGAGUCUUCAUUACCUGGCUUCAACGUUGCCUCCUCCCUGAAGCCUUCCAUGAUAACUCCGUCCUCCUGAUCCUUCAAGACUCUGCUCAUAACCAUUAUAUUGUGGCGUCACUGAUCUAUCUAAAAACACUCCACUCCCCAGACCACCAGGUCCUCAAAGGGAGAGUCCCGUCUUAGUGCCCGCUACCCAGGAGGUCUUCAGUCAGUGUUUGCAGAAUUGCCUCAGUGACUCUGAGUUGGUUCUGGAAGCGGCCUGCCAUAGCACACCACGCUAUGUGCCACUCAAUCUUCCCGACACUCGAGGGGUUCUGAGUUUACGCUGACUCUGCUGACUUAUUUCACUCCAGUUCCAUCUUUGCUCAGUCCUCCCUGGUGUCCAGAAUUGCUCGGCUUGCUGGGUCCCUCCUGCUUUGUGCAAACUUCACUACCCUUGGAUCGGUGACAGUUCCAAGGCGACCCCCCCUGGGGCAGAGCACAUGCUGUUUCCCGGGGUUCUAGAACUCUUUGCUGAGUUUUGGCUCCUCUUAAUGGCUUUGUGUGGUUGCCCGGGGCCCUUGAUACCUGUGUGUCUGCUCCUGACAGCAUCCCCCACCCGAUCCCACCAUCUGUUUAUUUUGGCUGCAUCUCCUUCUUUAUAUCCCUCUUCUGAGAGACGGUGAAUAGCAGCUACUUCUCAUCAGCCAGAAGCCCUUGCUGCCUUGUCCAUCAGAGAAAAUUUGUCUCCGGAUCCGAGGCAGCUUUCUGACAUGGGAGAGGACGUCAGUGCUCAUUUGCUCGGAAAAAGCAACAACAACAAAACCUCUUGCUCUGCUUGGACCUUCUCUAUUUUAUGGAUUGCUGUGCCCCCAGCAAACCCACCAGGUUUCCCUGCCAACCACCGGCCAUAUAUCCAAGCUGUGGAUCCACCCCCUGGCAGCCUAGGGCAGGGCGUGGCGAGGCGAGAGUUUCACAGCUUUGGGGGCUUUAUUUGCUCUACUUUGUGCUCUCUGGUACACAGUGUCUUGAAAGAGGGGUUUCUGCUAGGACACCUGAUGCUCUAACCUCAGUACCGACAGGUGUAUCCCUAUCAGGGAUCGCCUAGGGGACCAGUGAUUUAAAUACACUGGGGCUGUGGCAACUUUGCCCCUCAAUAUUUCACUUUGCCGAUCUCUGCUUUCUGGUAUGAAGCAAAAAAAACAACUCAGGUUCAGCUCAGCCUUCCGAAUUUCAAAACGGACUCCCUUGCCUCCUUUGAACUACACCUCUCAUAUUGAUAGAUACGGCUUUUACCAGUUCUGGGAUUUUCAUGUGUCUUGGUCUGGAAUGGAGUCAGACCUUUUGGCUAAAAUAGCACCUUUCACAGUCGUGUGCCUGGGCUGUUUCUGAUCUUCAUGAUGGACUAGGGACGUCCACUCAGGACGGACUGUCUCAGAAAGGGCUCCUCGUUUCAGAGAAGCCCUGGAGAAAAGGAGCUCUUCUAUACUAAGUAACAUCGCAGACGGUCCCUUUGGCCUCUUGCUGUGGGGCAGGCAUGGAAUGAAAGAGGAAGACCGUCUCCAGCUAGGCUGAGAGCCACAAGUGAGUAGUGCAGGAGUGAAUGGCUCUCGUGUGGACUCUUCCUCUCCAUGUCUUGCUUCCUUGUUCAUUCAGAGAUCUCAGCACAUCAAAAUAUUAGUGAAGGAGAUAAUUUAACCUGGGGACAAAAUGACACCUCUUUAAACCUACUUACCAAUCAGACAGCUAGAAGUCGUUUGCAUCUGACCAUAAAUUGCCCCCCAAAAGCUGUUCUUUUAAAAUGUAAACCUAUCUCUGGGAUUUGGGGACAGCCUAAAAGUACAUAUAAUAGAAGAGAAAGAGCACUUUGCCAGGAGUCAGGGGCCUCUAUUUCUAAUGCUUGGCUCAUUACUAACGAUGUCACUUUGGGCAAAUCAUUCUAUUUCUCUGGCUUCAUUAGUGACCUCAGUGGGAGCAGUUUUAGUAGAAAAUCUGACAUCCUAAUUGCCAAAUCCAUAGGCUAAUUUUCAUUCCUCAUCCUACAUGACAACUCCAUUGCCUAUCACACUCUUGACUGCUCUUUCCUUCUCGAAACCGGCUCUGCUCUUGGCUCCUGGGACCCUGCCUCUGUGAAUCCUUCUUCCACUUCUCUCACAACCUGCUUCCCUCUCCUUGCACCCACCCGGGUCCCCCUUGCCUGAUGGGAUUCCCGAGAAUUUCCCUCCUCGCUCCCCUUCUCAUCACACAUCCAUUUCCUAAGUGAUUCAAUCCACUCCCUUGGAGCCCCCGUCUCUUUGCGGAUGACUGCCAUAUCUCUACUUCAGAGCUCUCUUGGUCUCUCUUCUGAAUG